CCUACGGGCGGCUGCAGUGGGGAAUAUUGCGCAAUGGGCGAAAGCCUGACGCAGCGACGCCGCGUGAGGGAUGAAGGUCUUCGGAUCGUAAACCUCUGUCAGCAGGGAAGAACGGUCACUGUGCUAAUCAGCAGUGAAUUGACGGUACCUGCAAAGGAAGCACCGGCUAACUCCGUGCCAGCAGCCGCGGUAAUACGGAGGGUGCGAGCGUUAAUCGGAAUUACUGGGCGUAAAGCGCUCGUAGGCGGUAUGUUAAGUCAAGGGUGAAAUCCCCGCGCUCAACGUGGGAACUGCCUUUGAGACUGGCAGACUGGAGUGUGUGAGAGGAUAGUGGAAUUCCAGGUGUAGGAGUGAAAUCCGUAGAUAUCUGGCGGAACAUCAGUGGCGAAGGCGACUAUCUGGCACAUAACUGACGCUGAGGAGCGAAAGCGUGGGUAGCAAACAGGAUUAGAUACCCUAGUAGUC
rnacentral:rRNA from 1 species